UCACCCAGAUAGUGACUCCAGAGGAAGAAUCCUGUUCAGCCUGCUGUCCCCAGGGCAAUCAAUAUCCGCCAGGUGUCCAGCAUGCAAUACAGCCAACUUUCAUAAUUUCCUGCAUCCAUCUUUGAUAAUAACAGAAGAAGAACACCAUCUGGUCUGCUGCACUUGGGGCAAUUUAUACCAACCAGGUGUCCAGUAUUGAAUGUGCAAGAACUAUAAUUCACCUUAGAACAGUGGUCCCAUUAAUCCACCUCUGAUUCAUGUGGCUUCAAGAAUGCCAGUGCAUUAUGAGCAUUCAUAUACAACACACCACACCAAUUGUUAUUGAUAUGACUUUCUUGAAUAUAUAGACAAGGGAAGAUCAAUGGGAUGCUCUUGUUUCUGCAUGAAACCACUGGAUUGCUUCUCCAAAGUCAAGUGACCUAUGAUGAUAUGGAAGAACAUUCUUGGGCUUGCUGUGACUGGAGAGAUUGAUACAACCCAGGUAUCCUGUAAUAAAUAUGCCCUAACUCCAAUUCACCUUAGCACCAGAGUUCCAGGAAGCCUUCAUUGGUAAAGAUUACUGAGGAAGAGGAAUUUUUUUGGCCAGCUGCCUCUGACUCAACUUUUACCACCCAGGCAUCCUACACUCAAUCUGCCGAACUAUAGUCUACUUUUUAACCAGGAUUAAAGGUUUCCUUCCUGGUCAAAAGCUAGAACAAGUUACUCUCCUUUCAAGUGAACAAGUUACUUUCAGGAAAGAAAGAAAGCUGGAAUCAGGUCUUCCACUUCAGAAAACAGGGCUUUUACCACAAGUGGAUGUUGCUUUUCCCCAUCUGUGAUCUGAGUUAUGAGAGAAAGAGACCAGUCUUACCAGCCCCCAGGCAGG
rnacentral:lncRNA from 1 species